rnacentral:rRNA from 1 species
UACGUAGGGUGCAAGCGUUAAUCGGAAUUACUGGGCGUAAAGCGUGCGCAGGCGGUGAUGUAAGACAGUUGUGAAAUCCCCGGGCUCAACCUGGGAACUGCAUCUGUGACUGCAUCGCUGGAGUGCGGCAGAGGGGGAUGGAAUUCCGGCGUGUAGCAGUGAAAUGCGUAGAUAUCGGGAGGAACACCAGUGGCGAAGGCGGCGACCUGGGCCAAUAUUGACGCUGAGGUGCGAAAGCGUGGGGAGCAAACAGG